AUGUCUGAUAAGUGUGACAUGUGUCUGCUGGGACUGAUCACUCUCUCUGCACUUCUCACAGGUAGCAGUGGAGUGGAUGAGACUCAUGUGUUCUGCAGUUCUGGUGAAAAUGUCCGUCUGUCCUGUAAUAAUGCUCUUUCUGGCUGCACAUCAACUACAUGGAUCUAUAGCAGACAUUCAGAGACAGUUGAACUGAUUGCUGGAGGAAUAAAGAAGAAAGACACAGAGAGACAUGAGAGACUGAGUCUGGGCUCUGACUGCUCUCUGAACAUCAAGAACGUCACAAAAGAAGAUCGUGGAUCUUACUCCUGCCGACAAUAUGUGAAUGGACCACAACAAGGAACUGAUGCACGUGUUUAUCUGCAUGUUCUUCACGUCUCUUCAUCAUCCUCACAGUCUGAGAUCAGAUCAGGCCGCUCUGUGACUCUCUCCUGUCAGUUAUAUUAUGAUAUAUUCACUUGUGAUAGUUUGGUUGGUUCUGAGAGGAUUGAUCUGAUCUGGGUGAAUCAGGCUGGUGUGAAUCUGCAGACAGACUCCAGAUUUCAGAUAUUCUCCUCAGAACAGUGUCUCAGCUCUCUGACUACAACACUCCUGAAUGAAGAUCACAACAGAGAGUGGAGAUGUCAGGUUACACAGAGAAACCAGCUGAAGACCUCAGCCACAUAUACUGUCCAGUAUUCAGGUGUAAAGGAUUCAACACUGAUUCCAGUCAGCAGCUCAGACUCUGAGAAAUCAAGCCAAACUACAGCAGCUCCUACAACACGAGGUACAUGAUCUCUGACACACUUCAUCAGUCUCUCACUUUUGCAGUUGCUCUCACAAACAGUUUUUAAUCUAAUAAUCUAUGUUAUGAUGUUGUUUUUGCUACUCAGAGCUGCUGGAGAUAAUAAGGCUCUGUCAUUGAAAGCUAAACUGUAACUUUAUGUUUUCACUCAUUCAAAUAUUAUCUCUGUAUUUCCACAAUCUGGCACAUAAAUCUAAAACUAUACAUUUAUCCUCCAUAGCGUCAACUACAGCAGAAACACAGAGUCAAGUGACUACUCUAAACUGUCUAAUUCGAGUGAUUGUGAUUAUUGUUGAGAUCGCAGUGUUUGCUGCUCCUACUGUGAUUCUUCUUCAGAUCAUCUGUGUGAGAAGAGCUGGUGAGUUUUGAACAUCACAGAACCUGAGGAUUCACAUUGAUCUCUAACAAGCUGCAGACACUGUGGGAAACAAACAAAAAGAUUGAAAAAUUAAUUUCAAUGUAUGUAAUGAAAUGUAAAAUGAGAGGUCAUUGAGUUAUUUUGUAUUUAUUUAUUUUGUAGGGAAGAAGGACUCCUACGUCCAAGAGGAAAUAGAAAUAGCUACAAUAUUAGAAUAAAAUACUCUCUACAAAUAUCAUUGUAUAUUGUAUAAAUUUGGAAAGCUUUCAAUAUUUUAACCCUUAUGUGCUGUUGGGGACGUUUUGGCCACUAUGGGGUGCUGUUGAGUCUUAAUUUGGCCACAACUUUCUCUGUGUUUCAGCAAAUGGAAUGAUUUUUGGUGACAAAUCUUAUUUUUACACACAUUUUGGGAAAAUGCUUUGAAAAUUUUCAAAAA